rnacentral:rRNA from 1 species
AUUGAACGCUGGCGGCAGGCCUAACACAUGCAAGUCGAGCGAGCGGCGGACGGGUGAGUAUUGCAUGGGGACUGCUCGAUAGUGGGGGAUAACUACUGUAAACGGUGGCUAAUACUGCAUACUCUCGGAUAAUCGAUAUGGGAUUAGCUAGUGGGUGGGGUAAUGGCCCACCUAGGCGACGAUCUCUAGCUGGUCUGAGAGGAAGAUCAGCCACACUGGGACGGAGACACGGCCCGGCCCCCAACGGAGGCAGCGGUGGGGAAUAGUGCACAGGGGGCGCAAGCCUGAUGCAGCCAUGCCGCUUGUAUGAAGGAGGCCUUAGGGUUUUAAAGUACUUUCAGCGGGGAGGCGUUACCCGCAGAAUAAGCACCGGCUAACUCCGUGCCAGCAGCCGCGGUAAUUC